rnacentral:misc_RNA from 1 species
CUGCCUUCACGAACCCGCCGCCGCCCGUCCCCUACUCUUCCUCGUGCACCCACCGUCGCUCGUCCCCUCGUCUUCCUUGUGCACUCGCCGUCGCCUCCUCCUCACCCUCACGCACUUGAGGCCAGCUGCAGAACGAGGUCGGACGGCGGAGACGAGGUCGAGGUCUGCGACCUCCUCAACUUGCGCAAGACUGCCGAGACUGCAGGGACAAGCUCUUUGCUGCCUCGUCAGCUGCUUCUCGUGAUACACAAGGGAUUUUCAUCAACAAGUGGUCGCCAGAAGAACUGAAACAUCAAGAUGGCGUUUGCUUUUAGGUCAUGCCAUUCAGGAGAUGAUGCUAAGC